rnacentral:rRNA from 1 species
ACGGGGUGCAGCAGGCGCGAAACCUUUACACUGCACGCCAGUGCGAUAAGGGGACUCCAAGUGCGAGGGCAUAGCGCCCUCGCUUUUCUGCACCGUAAGGUGGUUCAGGAACAAGUGCUGGGCAAGACCGGUGCCAGCCGCCGCGGUAAUACCGGCAGCACGAGUGAUGGCCGCUGUUAUUGGGCCUAAAGCGUCCGUAGCUGGCCAGGCAAGUCUAUCGGGAAAUCUCCCCGCCUAACGGGGAGGCGUCCGGUGGAAACUGCCUGGCUUGGGACCGGAAGAUCCAGAGGGUACGUCCGGG